rnacentral:rRNA from 1 species
AUGGCGGGGCGCGGCGACGACGUGGCCGUGAUGACCGUGGCGGAGUAUGAGGCAAGGAGGAGGAGGCGGGCGGAGCAGGUCGCGCUGCCAGCCGGCAUGCUGCUUGUGCAGGUGCUGACGGUGGUGACCAUGCUCCUUACCAAGGUGGCUCUCAACGACAUGCACCCCCUCAUCCUGCUCCUCUACCGCAACCUCGUCGCCGCCGCCUUCUUCUUCCUCCUCGCUGUCGUCUUCGAGAGGUACGCAGCGCAGGCGCGCGCGUGA